UUCCUUUCAAGAGUUAGGCUGAAUUCCAAAAACCAGCUACGCUGGCGAACAAACAAAUUACAGUAAAAAGUAGUUUUCAUUUUAAUAACGCCUACAACCCUGCCUGUAACGUAGGGGACACUUAUGAGGAAGGCCCAGUAAACAAUUGAUAUAUCAAAAUUGAACUGGUCAAUUUGUCAAAAAAAAAUCCCAACUGGAUGACAAAAGCAUUAAAAUUAACGCCUCCAACUGUUGAAUAAUGAGAAAAGAAAAAGAAAAGUGAAGAUUGUCGUGAUCCACAUUGCGGAAUAUCUGACCUCAUCAGGUUUGCAUAUGGAAUCGAAUCUAUUGUCAUGUUUACUUAGUCAUAUCGCUAGCUGGAAAUCCUUAAUACCACCUUCCCCAAUGCGCCUUAGAUACUCUAACAGGCCUUGAUCAAGAUUCAAUCCAAUGCAAUGAAGAAUGUAAGCAAUACAAAAGACGAUGAUGACGAGGACUCCAAAUCUGCACUUCUGAUUAAUGGGAAUGGAGAUCUGAAUGGCAGAAGGAAAUUGAAAGUGCAAUGGAAUGAUACCAAUGGGAAAGAGCUCACUUCUGUAUGGAAAUUUGAGCCAAGUGACUCUGACUCAGAUGAUGAUAAGGAUAAUGAGCAUUCUCAAGCUUGUAGCUGUGUCAUUAUGUAGAAUUUUUACAUCAUUUGUGAGGCCAACAAAAGGCAGUUUUUUAUGAAUGGAGUCAGCACUCUAUUCAGGCUUUGAUCUUCGUAUAGACCCUUACAAAGGGAUUGUGAUUAUGAGUUCUCUUGAAAAAUUGGUGGGAGGAGAUUGAUUUGCAAACGUCCGAUAAUGCCCUUUAGUUGUGUAUACUAUCAUGGUUUUGUGAUCAUAUGCAACAAAUCAUCAAAGUUUAUUCUGCUAGGGCAACUCUGAUGCUUCAAAUUGAUGUUCUAAAAGUAUUUUUCGUUAUACUGGAUAUUUCAUGUACAGGAAGUGAUUUAAUGAAAUCUAACUCUCAAGUUGUAUUUCCUUGAUUCUGUACAAAUAUAUAUGUGUUCCAGAUAAUCUUUUUGCUGUU